rnacentral:rRNA from 1 species
UACGUAGGGGGCGAGCGUUAUCCGGAUUUACUGGGCGUAAAGCGCGCGCAGGCGGACGGGGAAGUCGGCUGCAAAAGCGCCCGGCUCAACUGGGCGUAGCCGGCCGAGAUUCCCGGUCUGGAGGGCGGCGAGAGGCAGGUGGAAUUCCGGGUGGAGCGGUGAAAUGCGUAGAGAUGUGGAGGAACACCGAUGGCGAAGGCAGCCCCCUGGGUCAAGAUUGACGCUCAUGCACGAAAGCGUGGGGAGCAAACAGG